AAGGAAUCAAUAUUAAGAUCAAAGAGUAAAAAAAGAAGUUAUGCUACAACGUCUAGUUUGUAAAUACCUAUGAUAUUAUUUUAUCUCUAGUAGUAGUGUUGUUACAGUGAAUGGUCUGUUAGGGAUCUCACUCCAUCCGUCUACAUAUUAGGGUUUUGCUACUUCGCCAUUCCAAGGUAUAAUUCUUGAUUAGGGUUUUGCUACUUCCAUUCCAAGAAUAUGAUAUCACAGUGUGUGACAGUUGGAGGAUCAAGAUCAUACUUUGUUGAUCUGCUGCAUGGUAUAUUGAAGUUUGAUCCUGUAGACCGUCUCACCGCUCAAUAAGCUCUUGACCAUCCAUUCUUUAGAAACAGUCCUGCAUAAGCUGACAGUAGUUUUCUGGUAUAUACAUGAUGAUUCCUUCUGCCGGCGAUCACCAAAUAUUAACUGUAAGUUCAACUAAUGGAAGAUCAUGGUUCGUUAUACUUGCUUACAGCUCUUUAAGAAGUAAAUAAACACUGUUCUUCCUCCAUUAGUAUUGUUUCUUAAUAUCAUUUAUACUUUCUUCCUGAUAGAUUUAAGCUCUCUCCCUCUCUUUCCUCAAUGAUUCGUCAAAGUAGAAUGAAGAAUCUUCAAUCUCUAGUUUGGAUCACUUUCGGAUCUAACUAUGGAUCGACCAACCUCUACCGUUUUCAACUAUUAUAUUGAUGCUUUUUAAUCGCUUCCCAACCUGUCUCUAGAUCUUUGAUUGUUUUAAGUUCAAUUUGAUUAUGAAAAGUUGGGGAUUGGUUUAGAUCUGCUUCUAGCCUACAAGAUUUCUGGUUUGUGUACUCUUAAGUACUAUCUUUGUUAUAAAAUUCACCAAAAGUCAACCCAGUUUACAGAUCUUGGUUCCUUUGAGCUUUUAAUACCAUUCAAUGGAUGUGGAAAAAAAUUGUAUAAAGAUGUGUUUCUGGAGUUGCUUACCUGCUGCUCUUGUUGUUAGAUAUCAAACUAUGUCCAUAACAAUUCAACUUUCCUUAACUAGGUAAAUUUAACAUAUUUAUUAUUAGUUACAACUUAUACAAGUUUUAGAUCUGAUUCAUAAGAAACUACCUGCACUAAACUAGUUAGAGUCAACUAUUCAACUCAUAAUGAAUUUAGUUAUGUCUCCAAUAAGUUUUUUGUGUCCACUACUAAAAACCUCAUUUGUUUUCUUGAAAUUAUGCGCGCGUAGCAUUUUAGUUCAUCAUAUAUUGUCCUAAUAUGGUUUGUAUACCUUGCAAAUAUAUGUGUUCCGACAACUAGGGGCGGCAAUUCUUGACACGACCCGUCAACCUGACCCGAACCCGACACGAAUGAAAACAGGUUUGGGUCGACUAAUACGACCCGUUUAAAAAAACGGGUCAGGUUCGGGUUGACACGUAUUAAAAACGGGUCGGGUUUGGGUUGACCUGUAUAAAAAUGGGUUGACCCAUUAAUCAGUUGAACAAUUUAGAAAAAAAAAACUUUUAUAUUUUUGUUUUUGUUUUUUUUUCUGAUUCCAUUUUACAUGCUUAGUUAUAAAAACACAUUAUAUUUUUUAUUUGUUACACUCAUACUCAUCAUUAAAUUUAUUAUCGAUAACCCGCUUAAAACCCAACAACUCGUUUAUAAAUCGUCAACUUGUAUGACUCAUUUAAAAAUACGAGUUAAACGUGUCAGGUUCGGGUUGACCCGAAUUUAUGUGGGUCGGGUUAGGGUUGAAGAAGCCUACAACAAACAAUCGCACCGCCAUAAGCUUCAUCUGUGAUUCUUUAUUGUUUUUUUUUUUUUGGUUUUUUGGAUAUGGGAAAUCCAAAUAUGAAAGAUCUUGAGAGCUAUUUGAGCAUGCUGUUGAAAUGGUAUGCAUGGUACUUUUCUUUAAAAACUUUGUUUGAUAUAAAAAUUUGCCAUCUUUUGUUGUAAGUAAGAUACGCAUAUGUAAUUUGAACUUUUUAAUUAUUUAUGACUUAAUUUGGUUUUUAAACAUGGUUCAAGAUCCAACAUGUCUAACCAGUGCCGAUAAGACGUACAGUUCACUAUCCAGUCCGGUUAUGAAAAUACUGGUGUUAAUUGGCAUUUUCAUUUUAAGCAGGAUCUCACGUCUCAAUAGUUUAUUAGUUACUGAUUUUCUUUGCUUUGCAGUUCUUUUGAUAAAGCUUGUGAUUUGUUUACUCAUAAGCUAAACGAGUUUAACAGCAGAGAUGGACUUGGGGCUUGAAGAUAAUCAACGAUUCAAGAAAUAUUAUUUUUUAUAUUAUUAUUGAGCUGCAAGUGAUUCGGGAUAGUAAUGAUUGCGGUAGGUAAUGUUGGGCUAGAGUUGACUUUGUGUAAAGUCAGCUAAUGUGCUAUAUUUGCCAAGUCAACAAUCCGUACAACAUGAUUGGUUAGAGGCAAAGGUAUGGUCAAAGGCAAUUGAUUAUAGUGCAUCAGUUGAGUUCCAUUGAUUUAGAGACUCAAAUGCCAAAAGUCCCCAGGUAUGUCAACAUUGUAAUUGGGAUUGCCAUUCCAGCAGUUUGGAUACUGGUGCAAUUGGCCAGUUCACACUGAUCCGUGUAAACUGUUUUUUUUUGGCAUGCAAUUGGAUGCCCACUACAAAUGCACCUGGUUAUGUUUUAUGAACUCCGUAUGUGCAAAGACUAAAAGUGCAAAGAUGUUAUUGUUGGAUCCUAUGUUGUCAAAGACGCAAGGCGCAGGCGAGGUGCAUCGGCCUCGCCCGGAGCCUAGGCGCAAGUCGCAAAAAAAGCGUGGGCUUUUUUUAAGAAAAGCGCAUAUAGAGAAAAAAAAUAUAAAAAAUAUGUUAUGCUUUAAAAAUAAAUAAGAUUCCACAUAUAAAACUAAAAAAAGGACGGUUUUUGCGCCUAGUUGCGCGCCUUUUUGCGCCUCGGCACCGGUUUUUUCAAAAAAAAAAACCCAUUUUUGCGCCUAGGCUACCACCAGGCGCUAUAGGUGCGCCUCGCUGCGCCCGAGCACCUAGGCGCGCGCUUUUUGCGCUUUUGGCAACAUAGGUUUGAUCAAAAGGGAACAAAAUAAGCCAAAGUGCAAAAGUGCAAAGAUGCUACUGGUCAAAUUAUAUUUUAUUUUCUUUGCAACCAACUUGACCCGUUAUUACUUUCGUUAGUUCUGCCUUCUUGAUCCUAUUCAUUGGUUGUUUUGUAGAUUGAAAAGUUGAACUUAGUUAUCAAGGAGCUCGUCAAGGAUAAUGAUGAAGAAAAAGAAAGGUUAAAUGGAAUUAUUGCGAAGUUGUUGGCUGAAAAAGAAAAAGAUAAAGUGGAUAAAGACGCUAUGCUCGACAACAAAUUGAAGCUAUGUUAACUGCCGCAGUUCGAAGAUAGGCUAUAAACACUUGGUUUCGAACGUUUCGAUGUUUAUCAUAUUAGGAUACUUUUAGUUGUUUUAUGUUUUAGCUGAUAUUUUUAUUAGAAUGUUUUAUGUGUUUUUGAAACAGAAAUGUUUUAUAUAACUUUGGGAUUUUGUGAUUUUAUUAGACUUUUUAUA